rnacentral:rRNA from 1 species
UACAGAGGUCUCAAGCGUUGUUCGGAUUCAUUGGGCGUAAAGGGUGCGUAGGCGGCGCGGUAAGUCGGGUGUGAAAUCUCGGAGCUUAACUCCGAAACUGCAUUCGAUACUGCCGUGCUUGAGGACUGGAGAGGAGACUGGAAUUUACGGUGUAGCGGUGAAAUGCGUAGAUAUCGUAAGGAAGACCAGUGGCGAAGGCGGGUCUCUGGACCAGCACUGACACUGAGGCACGAAAGCGUGGGGAGCAAACAGG